GGCUGCAUAGCUCAACUGAAUAGAGUACCACACUACGGAUGUGGGGGUUGCAGGUUUGAAUCCUGCUGCGGUCA
rnacentral:tRNA from 1 species